GCGCGAAGGUGACCCUCCAGUGUAGGGUA
rnacentral:sRNA from 1 species